AUUUUCAAAUUUUCAACGCAUUCCGAACAAUUAGCUGGCGCCAUCCUAUUCUGGUGACCUGAUUUUUUUGUGGUGCGAAGUGCAUAAAUCAAGUUGGGGAACGGUGGAGAG
ensembl:ncRNA T26C12.8 ncRNA